CGCUAGUAAUCGCGCAUCAGCCAUGGCGCGGUGAAUACGUUCCCGGGCCUUGUACACACCGCCCGUCAAGCCAUGGGAGCUGGGGGUGCCUGAAGUUCGUGACCGCAAGGAUCGACCUAGGGCAAAACCGGUNACUGGGGCUAAGUCGUAACAAGGUAAC
rnacentral:rRNA from 1 species